GCCUUUGAGGGUCUUCUUCUCAGCUUUUCCAGCCUCGUCAGGGCCGGUUCUCUCCCGAUUCAUCCCUCCGCCUCUCCAGCAGCCUGGGGUUUAGAGAGCAGCAUAGGAGAGGCGCUCUUGGGCCGGGAUGCAGCUCAGCGGCAAAGCGCCUGCCUGGCAAGCGCGCGGUCCUGAGUUCGGUCUGAAGGCGGUUCCCGGGGACUCUGGGAGGCCUCCCGUCUCGCCAACUGCCGGUGCGGGCACUCCUGCGGUCGACACUCGCGGUCAGAGUCCGGUUCCCAGCUGCUGUCUGGGUCGCGCUGGGUCAUGAAGCCAGAGUCGGGGCAGAAGUUUCAGGCGGACAAAUUUCAGAUCAAGCUAAGAAGUAAGUCCCCCACUCUCAGGACAGCUGAAGGCUCCGUGUGAAACAGCUGCGCUCCCCCGGCGCGGUAAGAGGAGGAGCGCCUGCCCGCGGCCUGAAAUGCUCUCCGCGUCCUCCGGGCCUCCUGCCGCUUCAGCGACCCCACUCGCUUGGCCCUGGAUUCUCCGAGGCACAGGGAGCUGGGCGUGCUUGCUGGGCGUUCUUCCGCUAGAUUCAAGGCGGGCUGCGACCCCCAGGGCCACGACAUCAACAGGGCCGGGAACGCCGGUCUUCCUAGCAAACCGCCUGUGGCAAAGUCUGCAUCCCGAGGACGCCGGCCCAGGAUGCGGGAACAGAGGAGCCAGACGGAGCUUCGGCCGCACUGGGGGAGCUGCAGUGACACCAGCAGCCAGGACGCCGCUUGGGCAGCGUGGCUCAGGGACCUGCGAGGGCGUCUGGGCUGUGGCUGCACUGUCCGCCCCCCUCCACCUGCUUGCUGCUGGCAACAGUGGGGCCUCAGCUGAGUAAUUAAGGACACAACCGAAGGCAGCUCUGUCCAUCGCGCCUUCGCACUGGCCUGUGGACGUCACUGUCGCCCUCUGAAGCCCAGGGAGUUCCCGCUGCACCCUGGAGAGGGGAAACCAGUAGCCAGGGUCUUCCAGUCGGCUCGGGGUUCGAGUCCCAGACCCGUCCAGCCUGACGCCUUCUCAUCCCUGGGAUCCUCACUGUCUGCAGCUUCCCCCGCUUUCCAGGCCUGGACCCACCCAGGGGGCCGCCCCUCCUCGGCCCCAGCCCUCUCGGGAACACUCAGGAACCCCAGAACCGGAAGUUCAGCUGUGCAUCCCGGGUGUUGAAGAGGCCCAAGCUCCCUCUGGGCUUCGCAGGACUUGGGGGGCUGUCCUGGGACUUGGUCCCCCACUCCCAGCCCCCCAGCUCAGCUUCGAGGUCCCCUCACUUGUGGCUUCGGGGCUCCCCGGACCUUGAACAUCCCCCACUUCGGCCCUCGUACCCCACACGUGGCUGUGGGACCGCGUCACUGCAGUGCCCCGCUGAGGUUAAGGGGAGGGCUGUCCCCAAGUCUCGGGAGCCACACAGCCCCGAGAGCCCGCCCCUCUCAGCCUCCCGGGUGACCCACUGCCUCGCGUGUGCCCGCUUCUCCACAUGGGCAGGGUCAGCACCACCUGGGCCUGCAGCUGCUCUGGACAGGUCCACGCUGACCGGAACCCCGUCCUCCCGUCAGCCACCUCUGCCUUCUGUCCCCGAGGCAUCUCCUGGGCUCCUUUGUCGAACCUGCCUCUCCCUCCCCUUGAGGACUGUGGCAUUUUCCCUGUUCCUCUCCAGAGUGGGAGAAAUUCUGGUUUCUUGUGACAGUGUCUAGGGUCAGUCUUGGGUUCAGGUCUCAGGCCAUUUACUUGCUGGCAGCAGAGCCUCGGGCUGGCUCGUGAGCUCACCCGAGCCUCACUUCCCUGCCUGGGAAGUGGGAAUGCCAGUGACUCCUAUGCCUCGGCUGUCAGGGCGUGUGGUGGCGGAUGUGGUCACCAGCACGGACAGAUACACUCUUGACAACGCGCUCCAGAGUCUCAUGGUCGGUCCUGUCGCCAUCUCCCCGAUUAAACCGAGCUCCCCAGGGCAGAGCGUGCUCCAUGAGGCUCCUUCCUGUGCUCAGCUCAGCACCCUGAACCACAGUCGGGGCCCGGUUAGAGUUUGUUAGAUACAAGCACGAGCAAUUCAGGCAAGGGAGACACAACCAUGACUCCUUCUUCUGCUGUACAAUGAUGCAAGUUUGCUACAUUUUGGGGCCUUUUUGAACCACUGCCCUGUGGAUUUCCCUAAUGAGCAUGAAUGUUUGGAAACACUGUGCAGUAGAAUAGGGGCACUAUGUCGCCAUCAGUCUGGAAUUUGGAAAAUCACAAGCAGAAUUAAAGAACAGUAUUAGAAUUAUUUAUUCUUUCUAUGCUCCUUUAUUGCACUCACUUUGGGGGAAAUUAUCUAUUCUUAUUUAACAAGAAGAU
rnacentral:lncRNA from 1 species